UUUUUUUUUACAGUCUUCAACGCGAAGCAAUACUGCUCAAUGUGUGCUUUGCAUCAUCCAGAGAAAACUGAUGAUAAUCUGACCAACUGGGCUUCCAUGUCUUCCCCCUGGACCUCCUCAAUAUCCACCUCUUGAACAUCAGACUCUGAGGCCUCAUCUUUACUAACACUUUCCAACCUUAAUGAGGAUGGCUCGUUGUCAGGCUCAAAAAGCCUCACAUUUGCCUGGAUGGCCACCAAUUUUUCAACCCUUGUAUUGGUCAGCCUGUUACGUGAUUUGGUGUGUGUGUUCCCAAACUAGGACCAGUUGCGCUCUGAGGCGGCUGAUGUUGGUGGGAUUUGGAGGAUGAUGGAGGCAACAGGGGAGAGCCUCAAAUCCACAAAGUCCCUUCCACCAGGUGGCUAAUGAGAUAUAUGUUGGCACGACUGCAGUAUUGCAUCUCCAUCCCAAAGCCCUUGCUUGGAAGUGUACUUCGCCAGACUACCAAGAACCUUGCUCUCAUCCAGACCAAGGUGGCGAGACAUGGUAGUGAUGACACCAUAGGCCCUGUUGAUCUCUGCACCAGACAGGAUGCUCUUGCUAGCAUUUUUGGGGUCCAACAUGUAUGGGCUUCAGGCAGAAGUCUUCACGCUUUUUGAUGUAUUUCAGAACUGCAGUUUCCUCUGCUUGGAGCAACAGUGAAGAGGUUUUAAGGCAGUACAGAUUUCUUCUCUUACAUCUGCAAGCAGUCUGAACAUCAGACAAUAUGGCAUUGUCUCCCUCAAUCCGUGCACUGGCUCCUGCUAUAGGUUUCAGGAGUUUCAGGCUGCUUACCACUCUCUCCCAAAAUACAUCAUCCAGGAGGAUCCUCUUGAUGGGGCUGUCCAUAUCGGCAGACAGUGAUAUGGCCAUUUCUUGGAGAGAAUUCUUCCCCUCCAGGAGACUGUCAAACAUGAUGACAACACCAGUGUUGCUGGGCAGCUUCAAUGAGGCGCUCGUAUUCUUCUCACUUUGCUUGGUGAGGUAGAUUGGUGCUAAAACUUGAUGACCCUUCACAUACCUAACCAUUUCCUUGGCUCUCUUGUAGUGUAUCCAUUGUUUUCAGUGCCAUGAUGUCCUUGAGGAGCAGAUUCAAUGCAUGAACAGCACAGCCAAUGGGUGUGAUGUGAGGGUAGGACUCCUCCACUUUAGACCAAGCAGCCUUCAUGUUCGCAGCAUUGUCUGUCACCAGUGCAAAUAUCUUCUGUGGUCUAAGGUCAUUGAUGACUGACUUCAGCUCAUCUGCAAGGUAGAGACCAGUGAGUAUGUUGUCCCUGGUGUCUGUGCUCUUGAAAAUGAGUAAAAAGAACAACAAAUACAAUUCCAUGUACAGAUAAAUAGUUAAGCAGUUAGAUUAAACAACUCCUUUGUAAGGAGAUUAUUUCCUUUAUAAUUCACUGUAUCACAAUUCCAGUGGGUCAGAAGUUGACAUACACUAAGUUGACUGUGCCUUUAAAAAGCUUGGAAAAUUCCAGAAAAUUAUGUCAUGGCUUUAGAAGCCUCUGAUAGGCUAAUUUACAUAAUUUGAGUCAAUUGGAGGUGUACCUGUGAAUGUAUUUUAUGGCCUACCUUCAAACUCAGUGCCUCUUUGCUUGACAUCAUGGGAAAAUCAAAAUAAAUCAGCCAAGACCUCAGAAUAAAAAAUGUAGACCUCCACAAGUCUGGUUCAUCCUUGGGAGCAAUUUCCAAACGCCUGAAGGUACCAUGUUCAUCUGUACAAAUAAUAGUACACAAGUAUAAACACCAUGGGACCACGCAGCCGUCAUACCACUCAGGAAGGAGACGCGUUGUGUCUCCUAGAGAUGAACGUACUUUGGUGCGAAAAGUGCAAAUCAAUCCCAGAACAACAGCAAAGGACCCUGUGAAGAUGCUGGAGGAAACAGGUACAAAAGUAUCUAUUUCCACAGUAAAACAAGUCCUAUGUCGACAUAACCUGAAAGGCCCCCUAGCAAGGAAGAAGCCACUGAAGCUGUGAUGCUUGCAAGCCGAAGAACACCAUCCCAACCGUGAAGCAUGGGGGUGGCAGCAUCAUGUUGUGGGGGUGCUUUGCUGCAGGAGGUACUGGUGCACUUUACAAAAUAGAUGGCGUCAUGAGGAUGGAAAAUGAUGUGGAUAUAUUGAAGCAACAUCUCAAGACAUCAGUCAAGAAGUUAAAGCUUGGUCGCAAAUGGGUUUUCCAACUGGACAAUGACCUCAAGCAUACUUCCAAAGUUGUGGCAAAAUGUCUUAAGGACAACAAAAUCAAGGUAUUGGAGUGGCCAUCAAAGCACUGACCUCAAACCUAUAAAAAAUGUGUGGGCAGAACUGAGAAGCGUGUGCGAGCAAGGAGGCCUACAAACCUGACUCAGUUACACCAGCUCUGUCAGGAAGAAUGGGCCAAAAUUCACCCAACUUAUUGUGGGAAGCUUGUGGAAGGCUACCCAAAACGUUUGACCCAAGUUAAACAAUUUAAAGGCAAUGCUACCAAAUACUAAUUAAGUUUAUGUAAACUUCUGACCAACUGGGAAUGUGAUGAAAGAAAUAAAAGCUGAAAUAAAUCACUCUCUCUACUAUUAUUCUGAUAUUUCACAUUCUUAAAAUAAAGUGGCGAUCCUAACUGACCUAAGACAGGGAAUUUUUACUAGCGUUAAAUGUCAGCAACAGAGAAACUGAAUUUAAAUAUAUUUGGCUAAGGUGUACAGUCGUCGCCAAAAGUUUUGAGAAUGACACAAAUAUUAAUUUUCAAAGUCUGCUGCCUCAGUUUGUAUGAUGGCAAUUUGCAUAUACCCCAGAAUGUUAUGGAGAGUGAUCAGAUGAAUUGCAAAGUCCCUCUUUGCCAUGCAAAUGAUUUGAAUCCCCAAAAAGCAUUUCCACUGCAUUUCAACCCUGCCACAAAAGGACCAGCUGACAUCAUGUCAAUGAUUCUCUUGUUAACACAGGUGUGAGUGUUGACGAGGACAAGGCUGGAGAUCACUGUGUCAUGCUGAUUGAGUUCGAAUAACAGACUGGAAGCUUCAAAAGGAGAGUGGUGCUUGGAAUCAUUGUUCUUCCUCUGUCAAUCAUGGUUUCCUGCAAGGAAACACGUGCCGUUAUCAUUGCUUUGCACAAAAAGGGCUUCACAGGCAAGGAUAUUGCUGCCAGUAAGAUUGCACCUAAAUCAACCAUUUAUCGGAUUAUCAAGAACUUCAAGGAGAGCGGUUCAAUUAUUGUGAAGAAGGCUUCAGGGCGCCCAAGAAAGUCCAGCAAGCGCCAGGACCGUCUCCUAAAGUGGAUUCAGCUGCGGGAUCCGGGCACCACCAGUACAGAGCUUGCUCAGGAAUGGCAUCAGGCAGGUGUGAGUGCAUGUGCACGCACAGUGAGGCGAAGACUUUUGGAGGAUGGCCUGGUGUCAAGAAGGGCAGCAAAGAAGUCACUUCUCUCCAGGAAAAACAUCAGGGACAGACUGAUAUUCUGCAAAAGGUACAGCGAUUGGAAUGCUGAGGACUGGGGUAAAGUCAUUUUCUCUGAUGAAUUCCCUUUCCGAUUGUUUGGGGCAUCCGAAAAAAAAGCUUGUCCAGAGAAGACAAGGUGAGCGCUCCCAUCAGUCCUGUGUCAUACCAACAGUAAAGCAUCCUGAGACCAUUCAUGUGUGGGGUUGCUUCUCAGCCAAGGGAAUGGGCUCACUCACAAUUUUGCCUAAGAACACAGCCAUGACAAAGAAUGGUACCAACACAUCCUCCGAGAGCAACUUCUCACAACCAUCCAGGAACAGUUUGGUGACGAACAAUGCCUUUUCCAGCAUGAUGGAGCACAUUGCCAUAAGGCAAAAGUGAUAACUAAGUGGCUCGGGGAACAAAACUUCAAUAUUUUGGUUCCAUGGCCAGGAAACUCCCCAGACCUUAAUCCCAUUAAGAACUUGUGGCCAAUCCUCAAAAGGCGGGUGGACAAACAAAAACCCACAAAUUCUGACAAACUCCAAGCAUUGAUUAUGCAAGAAUGGGCUGCCAUCAGUCAGGAUGUGGCCCAGAAGUUAAUUGACAGCAUGCCAGGGCGGAUUGCAGAGGUCUUGAAAAAGAAGGGUGAACAAAAAUAUCUAGACACUGAAGCAGCAAACUUUGUGGAAAUUAAUAUUUGUGUCAUUCUCAAAACUACGACUAUAUGUAAACUUCCAACUUCAACUGUACAUACUAUGACAGCAAUUCACUGUAAUAGGUACACACGUUGUAUCUGGCACAAGUGACGAUUAAACUGAUUUGGAUUUCAAAAACUGCCAUUAUUGUAACGUUUGAUAUAACGACAUUGAUGUGGGAUAUCUUUUUUAUCAAAACAUACGUUUUUUGCAAAUGCAUGCCUUUAUUACUAUAUGAUUUAUAUUGCCUGAAUACUCAAUGAUGAUUAACACCUCAGUUAUGUGUGCUUCUGUCAGGGUUGUGGUCAAAUGCAUGUCAUUUAAAGUCAAUUUAGCAAUUGAACAAAAAUCCAAUCCAAUCCAAUUUGAAAAUGUUCUUAAUUGCAAAAGCAUGUAACAGAAUUUGGGUAUUUCAGAACUGUAAUUUAGAUGUAAAUAAACAUAAGCCUGUUUUUAGAUGUAAAUAAACAUAACCCUGUUUUAUGUUUUUAA